rnacentral:tRNA from 1 species
GCCUGGGUGGCUCAGUCGGUUAAGCAUCUGACCUCGGCUCUGGUCACGAUCUCACGGUCCGUGGGCUCAAGUCCCACUUCGGGUU